rnacentral:lncRNA from 10 species
GAGGGACCCAAUGGGAGAUGCCUGAAUUAUGGGGGCGGGUCUUUCCUGAGCCGUUUCUCGUGAGAGUGAAUAGUUCUCACGAGAUCUGAUGGUUUUAAAAACGGGAGUUGCGUUGUACAAGCUUUCUUUUUGUUUGCUGCCUUCCGUAGAAGAUGUGGCUUGCUCAUGCUUGACUUCUGCCAUGGUUGUGAGGCCUCCCCAGCCAUGUGGAACUGUUUUCAGGUGCUGGUUCCAUGGCUCUUCCUGAGCCGAAAAUAAGGAAACUCCAUAGACCUUGUCCACUGGAACUCGUUCCCAUCUACCCUCCACUCUAUCCAGGGUGAUGGAUCUCUGCAGUAAGUGGAAGAGUUCUUCAUGGCCCCCAAGGUUAUAUCCAUCUAGAACUUCAGCACGUAAUUUCAUCUGGAAAUAGUGCCUUUGCGGAUAUAAGUUAGGUAAAACUGAAGAUGAGAUCAUACUGGAUUAGGAUGGGAUCUAAAUCCAAUGAAAAUGUCUUCAUAAAAAACAGGAAAGAACCCAUAGAAACACAAGGAAGAAGGUCAUGUGAAGAUGGAGGCAGAGAUUGGAGGGAUGCAGCCACCGGCCCAGGAAUGCCAGCAGCCACCCAGAAGCUGGAAGGAAAUGAGGGAUUCUCUCCUAGAACCUUUAGAGAGAACAUGGUCCUGUGAACAGCUUGAUUUUGGACUUGCCCAUAGCUUGUAUACUCUUACUUUGGAUACAAUUUUAUCCAAACUUGGCUAAACAGUUUCUCAGCCUAUGGAAAAUUUAAAAUGGAGAAGAUUCAACUCGAUUCUUACAGAUUCAAAGCAAGAAAAUGAUGGGAACAUAGGAGGAGACCAAGAAAGCCUAUAAAAAGCAAAAAUAUGAAGUGAACAUUGUGGUAGCUUUAAGAUGUUUAGUGUAGCUGCAGGCACCCUAUACACAUGAAAACCCCCAAGGGGAAUCCCCAUAUCACAGUGUAGUGUGAUAUUUGACAUUCGUGAUCAUCUAGAGAUGUACAGAAAAGGUGAAUCUGUGUUCUGUAUAUUCUGCCUAAGGCAAAGAAAUGUUUAGCUCUCUUUAAAAUAGUUCCAUAAUUUUUUCUAAAAAGCUUUGCUUGAAAACUGUAAGCUUCCCAUAUCUGGAGCAUUUCACUUUAAAUAUUUGGAUAAAUAUGUUAUCUUCUUACUUGGACAUUUCAUGUGUUUAGGGAUUGUCUUCUAAAUUCUUCCUAAUUCAUAUAGCUGCUAACACUUCCCGCAGAGCUAAACCAUUACAGAUAUGAAAUAAAGACCUAUUGAUUUGACUUACUUUUACUUGUAAAACCUUCUGAGUGUUAUAACCUCAUUUAAUCUUUCAGCAUUUACAGUUUCAAGAGUUUGUGUCACAAUUAGAAGAAUUCAGCUGCACCUCCAAGUGACAGCAGUUGCUCUGGUUGGUGGGUGAUCUCAGGAGGCUUGAGAAUUGCUUUGUCUGUGAGGGAAGUAAGACAUUUUCAGAGCCCCACUUUAGAAGGUGUGAACUGGCUAGAUAAUGAACCCCAGGGCUAACGCUGCUAUAGCAGUGGGAAGGAGGUGAUGGGUUUUCAGUUUGGACCUCAAACAUCAAUACCCUCCUGGUACGGGGAGGAACAGAGUCCCUCCUUUACUUCUCCAUUAGAAAGAAUGAGAUGGCAAGACAAUGAAACAGGCAAAGUGAACAGAGAUGCAAGACAAAAUUCAGGUGAGAGAGCCAGAGCAUCACUCAGCCAUUCCUGACAUGUAAAACAGGCAACUAGAAAUUUGCAGAAAGGAAGCGAAGUCUCCAUAAAGAUGUUUUUAAAGUGAGCUUGAAGUAUUUGGAGACAAUUCAGUGUUACAUAAAAUCUGCAAAUCUCUGGAUAAAGAAGCAGAGAUCCCAGCAUGGGACAAAUGGAGCCUCAAAAGUGGGAAGAAGACAGAGAAGACCAGGGCAGAAUGCAUCUCUUCCUUUCUCUUGGCUUUCCUGGAUAAGGACUGCAUCAUUCCUGUGGAAGGACAGGCCAUCAGCUCCGAAACACUGUAUGUAUUUUCCAGUAUAUACUGCUAGCUGUGUGAUGUUGGGAAAAUUUGUUACCCUGUCUAACCCCCACUUCCCUCAUCUGUAAAAUGGAAAUAAUGAUAGUACCUACCUAUCUCAUAGGUGGCAACUACAAGGGGCAGCACACUCAGGGAAUUAAGGAAGUUUCAGUGAACAUCAACUUUAUGAACACAGUGUUCAUAAAGGCAGGUCAGUGCAGUGGUUUGGGAGCCAGGAGAAGCACGUGGGCCGGAGUGUGCCUGCAGGAGACAAGGUCAGAGAUGUUGCUAAUAAUGGAGAAUAAAGGAUGCAUUCUCAUUACUGACCUUGGAGUCGUUCAUUCAUUCCCAGAAUGUGUUUUGUCAGCUUACUAAAACACUAAGUUAAAUAAUCCCAGGUUUUGUUUAUU